rnacentral:rRNA from 1 species
AUUGAACGCUGGCGGCAGGCUUAACACAUGCAAGUCGAGCGGGAAUAGGUAGCUUGCUACCGAUUUCUAGCGGCGGACGGGUGAGUAGUGCUUAGGAAUCUGCCUAUUAGUGGGGGACAACAUUUCGAAAGGGAUGCUAAUACCGCAUACGUCCUACGGGAGAAAGCAGGGGAUCUUCGGACCUUGCGCUAAUAGAUGAGCCUAAGUCGGAUUAGCUAGUUGGUGGGGUAAAGGCCUACCAAGGCGACGAUCUGUAGCGGGUCUGAGAGGAUGAACCGCCACAAUGGGAACGGGACACGGCCCCGACUCCGACGGGAGGGAGCAGUGGGGAAUAUUGGACAAUGGGGGGAACCCUUAACUAGCCAUGCCGCGUGUGUGAAGAAGGCCUUUUGGUUGUAAAGCACUUUAAGCGAGGAGGAGGCUACUUUGGUUAAUACCUAAAGAUAGUGGACGUUACUCGCAGAAUAAGCACCGGCUAACUCUGUGCCUGCCGCCGCCGUAAUAC